rnacentral:lncRNA from 1 species
CUACAUUUUGUCGAAAACUGGACAUUGAAGAUUCAUUUAUGAAGCUAGUCGUAAAAAAGACACGAAAGAGCCUUCAAGCAGAUGCCUUGAUACUCAACACCGCUGAAGAGCUCGAUGGGCCUAUACUAUCUCAAAUAUGCACCAAAUGCCCUCGUGUCUAUGCCGUUGGACCCUUACAUGCUCAAUUAAACACUAGACUCAAUGUAAAACAUGGAGAAUCAUAUGAUUAUUUCUCGAAUACACUUUGGGAAGUGGAUAAAAGCUGCAUCUUUUGGCUCAAUAAGCAACCAAAUCGAUCUGUUAUCUAUGUAAGUUUUGGUAGCAUUACGAGCAUGUCAAGGGAGCAACUUUUAGAGCUUUGCUAUGGACUUCUUAACAGUAAAACGAAGUUCUUGUUUAUUGUAAGGCCAAAUUCCGUGAUUGGAAAAGAUGGUGAAGGGGAGGAUGUUGUAAUGGAGCUUAUGGAGAAGAGUAAGGAUCGAGGUUACAUUGUAAAUUGGGCACCACAAGAGGCGGUCUUGAACCACCCAGCCGUUGGCGGGUUCUUUACGCAUAAUGGAUGGAACUCGACUUUGGAGAGCAUCGUCGCACGGGUGCCUAUGAUUUGCUGGCCUUACUUUACUGACCAACACGUGAAUAGUAGGGUUGUGAGUGAGGUGUGGAAAAUAGGGUUGGAUAUGAAGGAUGUAUGUGAUAGAAAGAUAGUUGAGAAAAUGGUAAAUGAUGUGAUGGUGGAUCGAAAGGAGGAGUUUGCAAAAUCCGCAUCUGAAAUGGCUAAGGUAACCAAUCAAAGUGUUAAUGUUGGUGGGUCUUCUUAUAGUAAUUUGGACUGUUUAGUUGAAGAUAUUAGAAUAAUGAGCUUGAAAAAACUCACAAAAUGAGCUUUGAACCACCCAGCCGUUGGCGGGUUCUCUUCAUUUUAAUUUUUUUUAUUGCAAUAUCUCUUUAAACAAAGUAAUUGAAUAGCAGUAAAACUUUUCAAAAUAUCCUUACAUGAUUGAAUAACUUGAUCAAUUACAAUCACCAAAUUUUUUUAUUAUUAACCUUAAAAAUAUGUACAACAAUAGUUACUUAAAUCCUAUCAAAAUAUGCCAAUAAAAUAGGUAAUUUAUAAACAACUUAAUUGCAAAUUGAGUUGUGACUAACUGAGUAAUUGACGAAUGAUGCAAGUCUCAAGACCCAAUUUCAGACUAAUGAAUGUGAUGAUUCACAUUACCUCAAAGCCCAACAAUAGUGUCAAAGGUCAAACAAAUCAAACCAAGAUCCAAUCAAAAACAAUAUUCGAGUAUGAAUUUUUUCGAGAAAAGGGGGAAUGAUAUAUGUAUGAAUGGGAUGAAAUUUAUUACAUUUCAUUCACCAAAGCUGUCAACUUUCAAGUUUAGGAAAUCAACAAACUUGCAACGCCUUUUUGGAUGAGAUCCAGGCAUAUCUGGGUUGAGACUCUUCAUGGUGUUCGAAAUUUAUCUAACUUGGAUUUGAUUGCGUUUCAGAUUAUGUCAAAAUCCAAGUUUCUUUCCUAACGUCUAGAGCCCUAAGUCGAAUUCACGACUUAAAUAAACUUUACGAUCCACUUCCACAUUCAUCUGCCUCAACCUUUAUCAAUGACACUAACAUUCUCACCCUUUGACACUAACAACUAGAGUAUUAUAUUCAUAAAAUGAGCUAAAAUAAAGAAGUAGCAAGUAGCAAACAUUAUGAAUAAACAGAAUACUUAACAGUAAUAAGCAUGCAAAAGGAGAACUCCCCUUCGAUGGUAGCAUCAAUACAUCCCCCCAAUAAACACAAUAGAAGGGGAGCGGACUUUUAUUUCUUUUCUUAAGAUGUGAAUGCAUGGUAAAGAUGGUUUUUUUUUGCACUAUAGGUAUGAAGUGGUUAUAAUAAUUAUUUUCUUUGCUCCACCCUACUUGAUGCGGUCAUUGAAAACACCAAAAAUAUCUUAUCCCUAAUAAAUAAUGAAAAAGAAUAGUAAAAGGGAAGCAGGGUCAAAUUCUUAAGGACUGGAUUUGCACAAUAUCAUGUUCCUUGAAAUCCCAGGCAAAAUCUUGCCCAAGAAAACCUGCGUGCCUGAAAAAAAAAUAAGAAAUAACAAAAUUAAAGGUUUGGAUCUGGAAAUAAAAAAUAAAAUAAAAACAGAAUUAAGAAUAUUGAAUCUAAAAUACGAGAGAUUAAAAAUAGAGUUGAGAUAAAGGAAAUUCUUAUGGGAGAUUCCAACCUCCAGUUGUCUCAUUCCGCCUUAGGUUUAAAUCCUCACCUUUUAGAUUAUCCUUCCCAGACCGAAUAAGCCAGUUAUAGUGGAAGAGGACGCCUACGACCACCAGCUCCAAGGAUUUAGAUUUACAAUUUAGUGGAACCUGACUCUAGCCAACAAUCGCUUCUGUGGGAUUGUCUUAUGCUAGAUCAACACUUCUCAAUGGCGAAUCCCACGCCUUUGUCUCUUGGGCUUGCCAACCUCUGACGCAGUAAGCUAACAAACCGACUGUGCAACCUUCCCAAAACAUACAAAGCGGCCGCAUUUGCAUUCGUUGAAAAGCUUACUUCUUAAGGGACAAGGACAGAAACAUCUACCCCGUAGUGCGGAGAAACGAUGAAUACUCAGCGAGGAGGCUAAGUACGGACUCUAAGCCUCAAGAACCCUUUUUGGGGAAUAUCGACAACCUUCGGCUAGAUGGGUUUAGUGGCUCAUGGUUGUGGUGGAAAAGAAAAUAAAUAUAAUAAAAAUAGAGAUUUUAUUGAAAGGAAAUAUGAGAAGAACAAAAGGCUACACUUUUGGGAAGAGAGUGUUUACAGAAAAAGAUCCAUCUCUUUUGAGUCACUUCACCCCCUAUUUAUAGUGAUAGAAGAGAUAGUCUAAUCCUACCUAAAUUCCCAAAAGAUAAAUACAUUUAAUUGAAGAUAAAUAAAGAUAAAUUAAAUAAAAUCCUAAAAUUAAAUAAUCUUUAAUAAUUAUCUUAAUAUUAAUUAUCCUAAUAUAAUUAAAAUAGAGUCUGAUAGAAUAAAAUCUCUUUUUUUUUGCAUUUCAACCCUUGUGUCCUCCAAGCUUGCACUUUUGACACCAACUUGUACUUGUCAUAUCGGACUUGUAUAAUCCCGUAAUAAUACUAUGCCCAUUGAACCAUCUAAAAUAUCGUAGGAUACGCGGGUGGUGCACACGAAGUGUACUGAAUGGUAAACCGUCAAUUCUUAUACAUGUGUGCUCAUACGAGCGAUAAACAGUAAGCUCAUCCGAGCUUAAUAUCAGUAAACUCUUCCGAGCAGAAUAACAAUAAGGUCAUCGAGGAUAGGUACAUGGACGUAGCUAAAGGGGCUGACAGGGGCCUUCAUCCCCCUAAAUGAAAAUUUUUUCAUGUAAGUCUUUUAAAAUUUUUGAAAUUUUAAAUUAUAAGAGAUAAAAUUACACUUUAACCCCUUAAAAUGAUAAAAUUUUGAUUUAAUCUUUUAAAAAUUAUAAAAUUAUAAACUAUUAAAAAUAAUGAAAUUAUAUUUUUAUCAUUAUAAGAAUUACAAGUUAAUUUUAGACAUGAAAAAGUUUUCUACUCUUGGAUAGAUAAGAACCUAAUUGGUUUCCUAAAAAUAUGAUAAAUAUAUCAUUUAUUUCUUAACUUAUAAAUUAAUACAUUCUCCACCUUAGCCAAAGACAUCUUUUGGCCAUUAAAUAGCUUCCAAAUUGUUGAUUCUUAAGCACAUAAAAGUCAAAAAGCCCCUCAAAACAGAUCAUCCAAUUAGAUGGAGGAGCAGGAUCGAUCCUCUCAACCCCGUCCUCCACAUGUCCUCAUCUUCCCCCUCCCAUUACAGGGCCAUAUAAACACCAUGAUUAAGCUGGCUGAACUGCUACCUAUCGCCGGCUUCAAGCUCACUUUCCUCAACUCCCACCACAACCAUAAACGCUUGGUCAAGUUCAACAAUAUUGCUGCCCAUUUUGAAAGAUACCCAGGGUUCGAAUUCAAGACCAUAACCGAUGGUCUCCCUCUUGAUCAUCCUAGGUCAGGGAGCUGGUUCCUUGAUAUGUUUGAAGAAACCAUGGAACCUAAGAUGAAGCAAAGUUUGAGAGAGGUACUUGUGAAUAGCAGCCCACCAGUAGAUUGCGUAAUUGCAGAUGGGUUUUUAGGCUUUGCUCUUGAUGUUGCAAAGGAGGUUGGAAUCCCCAUUAUUAUUUUUUUCAUACCAGCAGUUCUUGUUGUUUCAGGGUUUCUUAUUCUAUCCCUGAUAUAAUCCAAGCUGGGGAGCUUCCCAUCAAUGGUAAAUCCACUUCUUUCUCAUCAACUUUGUUUAUUGUACCAUGUUUAGCACUGUUUUUAACUUAGAAUAACACAAAACCUUAAGUCGAAAUGAUUUGACAAGCAUGUUGAAGAAAUUAACGAGAAAGACAUUUGGAAUAUUCCUGUUAAUUAGGCGAGUUGAUUUGGUUUAUGUAGGAUUAAUUCGAAAUUUAAAAUUUUUAAAUCAUUUCAUGUUUGAAUGAUUUUGAGUUUCAACGGGUUCUUGUCAUUUAGAUUUACUAAUUUAACUUUUAAAUUCGAAUUAUUUUUGGUUAUUUUGUUUUCGGGUCACUUUAGGUUAGCUAGCUGGGUAUUUUUGUGUCGAUUUUCAAGUUGAAUCAUUUCAGGAUUGUUUUUAUUCUGAUUUAAUACUUAAGUUUAGACCACUUUGGGUAACUUGUACCCGUUGUUUAUAAGUUCGAGUCGUUCGAAGUUGUGAUCAUAUUUGAGUUUAGAUUAUUUCGAAUUUAAAUUGUUAAAUUUCUAUGAUUAAAUAAAUUUGAAUCUGAUAUGAGUUUCAAUUAAUUGGGUUUGUGAUAAUUGACACUAGUAAAUGGGUUUUUGUUAUACAAUUGAAGGAAGUGAAGACAUGGACCGGCUAAUAACGACAGUGCCAGGCAUGGAAACUUAUCUUCGAUGUCGAGAUCUUCCAACUUUUUGUCGAAAACUUGACAUUGAAGAUUAAAUUAUGAAGUAAUAUCUCUUUAAACAAAGUAAUUGAAUAGCAGUAAAACUUUUCAAAAUAACCUUAAAAAGAUGUAAAACAAUAGUUACUUAAAUCCUAUCAAAAUAUGCCAAUAAAAUAGGUAAAUUACAAACAACUCAAUUGCAAGUUAAGUUGUGACUAACUGAGUAAUUGACGAAUGAUGCAAGCCCCAUGACCCAACAACCAAUUUCAGACUAAUGGAUGUGAUGAGUUCACAUCAUCUCAAAGCUGAACAAUAGUGUCAAAGGCCAAACAAAUCAAACCAAGAUCCAAUCAAAGACAAUAUUCGAGUAUGAAUUUUUUCGAGGAAAGGGGGAUGAUAUAUGUUCGGAUGGGAUGAAAUUUAUUAAAUUUCAUACACCAAAGCUGUCAACUUUCAAGUUUAGGAAAUCAACAAACUUGCAACGCCUUUUUGGAUGGGAUCCAGGCAUAUCUGGGUAGAGAUUCUUCAUGGCGUUCGAAAUUUAUCUAUCUUGGAUUUGAUUGCUUUUCAGAUUAUGUCAAAAUCUAAGUUUAUUUCCUAACGUCUAGAACCCUAAGUAAAAUUCGCGACUUAAUAAACUUUACAAUACACUUCCACAUUCAUCCGCCUCAACCUUUAUCAAUGACACAAACAUUCUCACCCUUUGACACUAACAACUAGAGUAUUAUCUUCAUAAAAUGAGCUAACAUAAAGAAGUAGCAAGUAGCAAACAUUAUGAAUAAACAGAAUACUUAACAGUAAUAAGCAUGCAAAAGGAGAACUCCCCUUCGAUAGUAGCAUCAAUACAUCCCCCCAAUAAACACAAUAGAACGGGAGCGGGCUUUUAUUUCUUUUCUUAAAAUGUGAAUGCAUGGUAAAGAUGGUUUCUUUUUUUGCAUUAUAUGUAUGAAGUGUUUAUAAUUAUUAUUUUCUUUGCUCCACCCUACUCAUUAUAUAAAGUUAUUAUUUUAUCCUAUAUAUUUGUUGAUACAACAUACAACAAGGAAGGAAGAUAAGGAGGAGGUCAAGAUGGUGCAAUGGAGGCCAAUUCACCUAAAGAGGUUGAGAGUCGAAACAAGAACAAAAUGACAAACUAACCAAGAAGACAAUUGCUCGGUAACUCUAGAGUGCUAAAAAAAAGGAUCUUUUUGCAUCAUUCCUUAGAAUAUUUUCUCUUGUCCAUUGAUAUGACAUGGUCAGAUAAACAUUCAAUCCCGCAAAAUGUGUAAAGGAUAUUUAUAGGCGUAAAUCAUGGGACCUUAUCAAUAUGAGAUUAUUGUGCCUAAAUGGACUCCUUAUCAUAUAAAGAGUGCAUUCAUACUAAGAGAAUGUUAAUACUUAAAACAGGUGGAUGGUUCCAUCUAAGAGGAAUGAGUGGUCUAUUGAAGCGUUACUUCAAAUGAAGUCAACAAAAGAUCUAUAAUGCAUCUGAUAUUGACACGUGUCCGAGUGACGGAGGGAUAUUUGGGCUUAUACAGUCCUUAUUAUUGCAACUAUGAUAAAAUCAUGCUGUAAUAAAUAAUUGUAGUCACGUGACAUGCAAUAAGAUUGAAUCUUUCUGAUUUCUUUUUGCAAGUUUUAAAAGUACGAGUUUGACAAUGUUGUCUUUAAUUGCAGGCUGAUUUGAUGCAAAUGCAAUUUUUUUUAUAAUAAUCAAAACAAUAAAUAAAUUGUGUCUAGUGCUCUCAUCUUUUAGAAUAUCUUAAUCUCCAUGACAGCUAUCAAAUAUAUAUAAAAUUUCAUUAUUCAAGAGGGUUAUUUUUGUUAAUAUGUCUGCAGUUUUAUUAUUCAUUUUAGGAACGUAUCUCAAUGAUCAUAUCUUCUUUUUAGCAAGGAUAUGUUGAAUCAUCCUAAUUAAGGUUAGUUUUUUCAAGCUUAUUAUCGCUAAUAGCUGUUACGACCUCAAGACUAUUAGAAUAAAUGAUAAUCUUAUCAUAUCCUUAUUUUUUUAAUAUGUGUAAACUAUUUAAUAUGUCCCAAAAGUCAACAGCUACAAACGAAUAUUUCUCCAAAAAGUGAUUAUAGUCCAAAAUCUAAUUUCUCUUCCCAUCACAUAUUACUCCACCUACAGCUUAAAAACUAGAAAUAGAAUUAACAGCACCUUCAAUAUUAAGAAGAAAACCCAUAGCUGCAGAUCCAUCACCAAGACUUCAUUAUUUGUUGGCCUUGCUUUGGUGACCAACAAUUGAACAGUAGGUUUGUGGAGGAAGUCUGGAAAUUAAUUAGGAUUAGAUAUGAAGGAUGUGUGUGAUAGGAGAGUUGUGGAGCAAAUGGUGAAUGAUUUAAUGGUGGAAAAAAGGGAGGAGAUUUUGAAAUCAGCUGCUGAAUUUGCUAAAUUAGCCAAAAGAUCUGUGAAUAUUGGUAGGUCUUCGUAUUAUAAUUAGAACUGUCUAAUUGAGGACAUAAGAAUGGUGAAUAAAAAUUGUUAAAAACGUGAAAUUUUGAGAUAGGGACAACAAAAUAAGGGGCCUUUCCCUUCCCCACUUUUUUUAUUAAAUUAUUUCCUAGGUUCCUGCUAAUUUCGAGUUAAACAAUUUGACCCUAAUUUCUUUAAUUAUCUUUUACAUCUUUGUCAACUUUUAAAGUAAUAAUCGUAUUUGUUUGCUUUUAUACUAAUAUAUGAUUUUCAAUUGAUAAAAAAAAAUUAAAAAUUAGUUGAAAAUACUAAUAUCUCGUAUUAAUUGAUAAGAGUUACGAUAAUUAUCAAUAUAAAUCGAUAUUGAUUGAAAUUAAUUAAAAUAUAUUAAUUUUUUUACUAAAAUUGAACUUAAAUAAUUUGGUAUCAAAAUGGUGGGGACUAUUAUCCAAUAAUGUUUUCUCUUGAUUCUGUCCCUGCCCGAAGUAGCUAGUGAAGGGGAAUAAAGAUGUUUCGUAUAGGAAAAUUGCUUUAACGAAAAUGGUGAAUGAAAUUGAUAUGGUUGAAAACAAAGAAGAGACUGAGAAAUCUGUCGGCGGCCCUUGCUGCAAUUUCGAUUGUUUUAUUAAAGACAUAAAAGAACAUGUUGUAAUUAAUUAACUUGCAGUCACAUGGCAUGCGAUGAAGAUGGAUUUUUUUUUUUAAAUUAGAUUCAAGGUUAUUAAAUAUUAAUAAGUUUAUAUUUUGAUUAAUUAAUUAGAUACAAAAUAAUCACUAAACUAUUCAAAAGAUUUUGUUUAAGUCAUUAGCUUUAAGUUUGGUUUACAAGCUUCAAACAACAAUUCGACGAAUAAUAUGGUAGAUCAGUACCCAUUAAAAAAUAGAAGAACUUAACAUAGAUCCAAGUCGAUCUGACAGUCAAUGUUGGAGAUUGAAGAAGAAUGUUAUUUGGACUUUGGCUCGUAAAUAUGAAAAGAAAUUGAACCGUAAAAGAAAAGGGGAAGAAAAGUUUUCAAUUUGUACAAGCGAUGCGAACGGAAAAAACUAUACAAUAAAACAAAGUAAUUGAACAAAGUAAUUGAAUAAUUAUCUUUCAAAAAUUAUAAAAAUAUAAACUAUUAAAAAUAAUGAAAUUAUAUUUUAAUCAUUAUAAGAAUUACAAGUUAAUUUUAGACAUGAAAAAGUUUUCUACUCUUGGAUAGAUAAGAGCCUAAUUGGUUUCCUAAAAAUAUGAUAAAUAUAUCAUUUAUUUCUUAACUUAUAAAUUAAUACAUUCUCCACCUUAACCAAAGACAUCUUUUGGCCAUGAAAUAGCUUCCAAAUUGUCGAUUCUUAAGCACAUAAAACUCAAAAAGCCCCUCAAAACAGAUCAUCCAAUUAGAUGGAGGAGCAGGAUCGAUCCUCUCAACCCCGUCUUCCACAUGUCCUCAUCUUCCCCCUCCCAAUACAAGGCCAUAUAAACUCCAUGAUUAAGCUAGCUGAACUGCUAGCUAUCGCCGGCUUCAAGCUCACUUUCCUCAACUCCCACCACAACCAUGAACGCUUGGUCAAGUUCAACAAUAUUGCUGCCCAUUUUGAAAGAUACCCAGGGUUCGAAUUCAAGACCAUAACCGAUGGUCUCCCUCUUGAUCAUCCUAGGUCAGGGAGCUGGUUCCUUGAUAUGUUUGAAGAUACCAUGGAACCUAAAUGAAGCAAAGUUUGAGAGAGGUACUUGUGAAUAGUAGCCCACCAGUAGAUUGCAUAAUUGCAGAUGGGCUUUUAGGCUUUGCUCUUGAUGUUGCAAAGGAGGUUGGAAUCCCCAUUAUUUUUUUUUGUACCAGCAGUCCUUGUAGUUUCUGGGUUUAUUAUUCUAUCCCUGAUAUAAUCCAAGUUGGGGAGCUUCCUAUCAAUGGUAAAUCCUCUUCUUUCUCAUCAACUUUGUUUAUUAUACCAUGUUUAGCACUGUUUUUAACUUAGAAUAACACAAAACCUUAAGUCGAAAUGAUUUGACAAGCAUGUUGAAGAAAUUAACGAGAAAGACAUUUGGAAUAUUCCUGUUAAUUAGGCGAGUUGAUUUGGUUUAAGUUGGAUUAAUUCGGAAUUUAAAAUUUUUAAAUCAUUUCAUGUUUGAAUGAUUUUGAGUUUCAAUGGUUCUUGUCAAUUAGAUUUACUAAUUUAACUUUUAAAUUCGAAUUAUUUUUGUUAUUUUUGUUUUCGGGUCACUUUAGGUUAGCUAGCUGGGUAUUUUUGUGUCGAUUUUCAAGUUGAAUCAUUUCAGGAUUUUUUCCAUUCGGGUUUAAUACUUAAGUUUGGACCACCAUGAAUAAUUUGUUCCCGUUAUUUUUAAGUUCAAGUCGUUCGAAGUUGUGAUCAUGUUUGAGCUUAGAUCAUUUCAAAUUUGAGUUGUUAAAUUUAUAUGAUUAAAUAAAUUAAAUCUGAUAUGAGUUUGAAUUAAUUGGGUUUGUGAUCAUUGACACUAGUAAAUGGGUUUUUGUUAAACAAUUGAAGGAACUGAAGACAUGGACCGGUUAAUGACGACAGUGCCAGGCAUGGAAACUUAUCUUCGAUGUCGAGACCUUCCUACUUUUUGUCGAAAACUGGACACUGAAGAUUCAAUAUUUAUGAAGCUAGUCGUAGAACAGACACGAAAGAGCCUUCAAGCCGAUGCCUUGAUACUCAACACCGCCGAAGAGCUCUAUGGGCCUAUACUAUCUCAAAUACGCACCAAAUGCCCUCGUGUCUAUGCCGUUGGACCCUUACAUGCUCAAUUAAACACUAGACUCAAUGCAAAACAUGGAGAGUCAUAUGAUCACUUCUCGAAUACACUUUGGGAAGUGGAUAAAAGCUGCAUCUUUUGGCUCAAUAAGCAACCGGGUCGAUCUGUUAUCUAUGUAAGUUUUGGUAGCAUUACGAGCAUGUCAAGGGAGCAACUUGUUGAGCUUUGGUAUGGACUUCUUAACAGUAAAACGAAGUUCUUGCUUGUUGUAAGGCCAAAUUCCGUGAUUGGAAAAGAUGGUGAAGGGGAGGAUGUUGUAAUGGAGCUUAUGGAGAAGAGUAAGGAUCGAGGUUACAUUGUAAAUUGGGCACCACAAGAGGCAGUCUUGAACCACCCGGCCAUUGGCGGGUUCUUUACGCAUAAUGGAUGGAACUCGACUUUAGAGAGCGUUGUCCCAGGGGUGCCUAUGAUUUGCUGGCCUCAGUUUGCUGACCAACACGUGAAUAGUAGGGUUGUGAGUGUGGUGUGGAAAAUAGGGUUGGAUAUGAAGGAUGUAUGUGAUAGCAAGAUAGUGGAGAAAAUGGUAAAGGAUGUGAUGGUGGAUCGAAAGGAGGAGUUUGCAAAAUCCGCAUCUGAAAUGGCUAAGGUAACCAAUCAAAGUGUUAAUGUUGGUGGGUCUUCUUAUAGUAAUUUGGACUGUUUAGUUGAAGAUAUUAGAAUAAUGAGCUUGAAAAAACUCACAAAAUGAGCUUUGAACCACCCAGCCGUUGGCGGGUUCUCUUCAUUUUAAUUUUUUUUAUUGCAAUAUCUCUUUAAACAAAGUAAUUGAAUAGCAGUAAAAAUUUUCAAAAUAUCCUUACAUGAUUGAAUAUCUUGAUCAAUUACAAUCACCAAAAUUUUUUUAUUAUUAACCUUAAAAAGAUGUGCAACAAUAGUUACUUAAAUCCUAUCAAAAUAUGCCAAUAAAAUAGGUAAAUUACAAACAACUCAAUUGCAAGUUAAGUUGUGACUAACUGAGUAAUUGAGGAAUGAUGCAAGCCCCAUGACCCAACAACCAGUUUCAGACUAAUGGAUGUGAUGAGUUCACAUCAUCUCAAAGCUCAACAAUAGUGUCAAAGGCCAAACAAAUCAAACCAAGAUCCAAUCAAAGACAAUAUUCGAGUAUGAAUUUUUUCGAGGAAAGGGGGAUGAUAUAUGUUCGGAUGGGAUGAAAUUUAUUAAAUUUCAUACACCAAAGCUGUCAACUUUCAAGUUUAGGAAAUCAACAAACUUGCAACGCCUUUUUGGAUGGGAUCCAGGCAUAUCUGGGUAGAGAUUCUUCAUGGCGUUCGAAAUUUAUCUAUCUUGGAUUUGAUUGCUUUUCAGAUUAUGUCAAAAUCUAAGUUUAUUUCCUAAAGUCUAGAACCCUAAGUCAAAUUCGCGACUUAAACAAACUUUACGAUACACUUCCACAUUCAUCUGCCUCAACCUUUAUAAUGACACUAACAUUCUCACCCUUUGACACUAACAACUAGAGUAUUAUCUUCAUAAAAUGAGCUAACAUAAAGAAGUAACAAGUAGCAAACAUUAUGAAUAAAUACUUAACAGUAAUAAGCAUGCAAAAGGAGAACUCCGCUUCGAUGGUAACAUCAAUACAUCCCCGCCCCCAAUAAACACAAUAGAACGGGAGCGGGCUUUUAUUUCUUUUCUUAAAAUGUGAAUGCAUGGUAAAGAUGGCUUUUUUAUUUUUUGCAUUAUAUGUAUGAAGUGUUUAUAAUUAAUAUUUUCUUUGCUCCACCCUACUCAUUAUAUAAAGUUAUUAUUUUACCCUAUAUAUUUGUUGAUACAACGUACAACAAGGGAGGAAGAUAAGGAGGAGGUCAAGAUGGUGCAAUGGAGGCCAAUUCACCUAAAGAGGUUGAGAGUCGAAACAAGAACAAAAUGACAGACUAACCAAGAAGACAAUUGCUCGGUAACUCUAGAGUGCUAAAAAAAGGAUCUUUUUGCAUCAUUCCUUAGAAUAUUUUCUCUUGUCCACUGAUAUGACAUGGGCAGAUAAACAUUCAAUCCCGCAAAAUGUGUAAAGAAUAUUUAUAGGCAUAUAUCACGGGUCCUUAUCAGUAUGAGAUUAUUGUGCCUAAAUGGACUCCUUAUCAUAUAAAGAGUGCAUUCAUACUAAGAGAAUGUUAAUACUUAAAAUGGGUGGAUGGUUCCAUCUAAGAGGGAUGAGUGGUCUAUUGAAGCGUUACUUCAAAUGACGUCAACAAGAGGUCUAUGAUGCAUCUGAUAUUGACACGUGUCUGAGUGACGGAGGGGUAUAGCAACAUUAAAUAUAUGUUCGAGCCUUGAAUUACAUAGUUAAGACUUAGUGGUUUCUGACAAUGUUUUUAUAAUUGAACCCGUGAUCAAACCGAUCAGACCACCAAUUUUUAAUUUAAUUGAUUCAAUCGAUUAAAUCUAUUGAUUCAAUAAAAAAUAAAUUAUAAAUAUAAAAUCUAAUUAUUUAUAAAUUUUGAAAUCUCAUUAUUAAAGUUUUGUAAGUCCACUUUAAGACUAUAUAUAGCCCAUUGAUUGAAAAUCUGUAAAUCCACUUUUAAAGAAUUUAAAAGUUCCUUGUGAAUAUGCAACUCAUCUCUUUUACCCUUUAGACUUGUAAACUUCUCUUCCACUUCCUUUUUGUCAUUCCCUCUUCUCAUUUAUUCUAACUAUUUCUUAAAUGAUCGGUUUUUUUCUAUUCAUUGCUUCUUCUCAAAUACCCAAAUCUCUUUCGUAUCAUUCCAAAUCUCAUGUUUUUCUUUUUCUUUCUUUACAUAAAUAAAAUAUUAUUCUAAUCGAUUUUUUUUGUCAAGUUUCUAAACCCUAUUUAAUUGAAUUUUAAUUGGUUCAUAAUAGUUCGUUUGUUAUCCAUUUUAAUAAAUAGUGUUGGAUGGUCAAAUCUACCAAUUUUCAAUCCAAUCAAUUUAAUUAAUCAAUACAAUUCAAUUUCGACAAUAUUAAUUUCUGAUUUCUAGUUGCUAAUAUAAGAAAAUUAAAUAAAUUAAUUGUUAGGGAAUUUUUAAUUUUUAAGGUAAAUUCAAUUCCUAUUUACUUGGGAGGUUGUCCUAAGUAAUCAAAAUUAUGUUUAAAAUAUUAAAAAUAAUUAAGAAAAAUCAAAAUGAAACAACGUAUGGUAAAAUGAGAAUGGAUAUAUUUAAUAUCUAUAAUGGAAAUAAUAAAUUAUAAAAUUAAAUAUUUAUGAUGGAACGAAAUAGAUAAUAAAAUAAUUAAGAUUUAACAUUAUUUGCUAGGUAUUGUUACAUUUUCUUCCCAAUGGAGGGCAAUGUUAUGUUGGCUUUACUUUUUGGACCAACAAUUGAGAAGUCGCUUUUGUUUGGGAUUUUUUUUUUCCAGAAAUGGUGCAUGAAAGGGUCGGUGAAAAUGGGUAGAUUGGCUAAAUCAUGUGACAGUGUCGGUGGUCCUUAUUAUUGCAAUUUGCAGUCACGUGACAUGCAAUAAGGUGUAAUCUUUCUGAUUUUUUUUUUUGCAAGUUUUAAAAGCACGAGUUUGACAAUGUUGUCAUUAAUUGCAGGCUGAUUUGAUGCAAAUGCAAUUUUUUUAUUUAUAAUAAUCAAAACAAUACGAUUACAGUAAAGUAUUUAUAAAUAAAUUGUCUCUGGUGCUCAAUCUUUUAGAAUAUCUUGAAUCUCCAUAAGGGCUAUGGAACAUAUUUAAAACUUCAUCAUUUAAGAGUCAUUGUUGCUAAUGUGUCUAUUAUUUUAUUAUUCUUUUUAGGAAUGUAUCUUAAUGACCAUUUCUUUUCGUUAGCAAGCAUAUGUUAAAUUCCCUUAAUUAAAAUAGAGGUACUUUUUUCAGGCUUAUUACUGCUAAUUAUUGGAUACCUACAAUCUUUGACUUUUCAAAGAUGAAUAGUGGCAGAAAGUUGGCACCGAAAGUAGAAAGUAAGAUUAGUUGGCAUGGGAUAAUUGCAAUUUUGGUCCCUAAUUGUAUAGGGACAUUGCAAGUUGAUCCUUAAACCUCAACUAUAAAUAGGUCUAACCAUUUCUUACUUUCUUCAUCCCACACUUGCCAUUCUCUACUUAAGGCAAUUGUUCUCUCUCCCUAUUUGUAAACUUUCACUUGUAUUUUUGGAGUGAAAUAUAUUUGGUAGUGCCCGAGGACGUAGGCAAAAUUUGCUGAACCUCGUUAAAAUUCUAGUGUUCUUUAUUUUUUGUUCUGCAUAUUUUGCAAGUGUCAUUGUAGUGAUUUAUUGUGCUAUUAAAUUACGAUAGAGGGAUAUUCUGGCUAGGAAAGAUCUGGUAUGUAAGCGAUCCUCGUGAUCCACCUCUCUUUCCUGGGAAUUGAACUUAGUGUGAUUUUUCAGUACAAUAAUUUUACUCUUUCACACGCUUCCGCGCAACAAUUGGUAUCAGAGCCAGGUUCGUACUUGGGGAAUACGACCGUUUACGGUACUAUUCACGUAUACGGCACUAUUCACAUAUAUAGUACUAUUCACGUAUAUGACACUAUUCACGUAUACGGUACUGUUCACGUAUACAGUAGUUGGGAUUGAGGAGAAAAAUGGCAGCAGCAUCGUCAUCAGUAAGGACUACUGUGACAAAUGCAAAAUUUGAAGUAGAGAAAUUUGACGGUACCAAUAAUUUUGGUAUGUGGCAGUGUGAGAUCCUGGAUGUCUUAUGUCAGCAAGAGCUGGAUAUAGCCAUUGAAGAAAAACCUGACAAGAUGGAUGACAAGGAGUGGGCCAAGAUCAAUAGACAGGCGUGUGGUACAAUCCGCCUAUGUUUGGCCAAAGAGCAGAAGUACUCCGUCAUGAGGGAGACAUCAGCGAAGAAGCUGUGGGAUACAUUGGAAGAAAAGUUUCUAACGAAAAGUCUUGAAAAUAGGCUUUAUAUGAAAAAGAAACUUUUUCGGUUCACGUAUGCACCCGGUAUGUCGAUGAAUGACCAUGUGAACUCAUUCAAUAAAAUUUUAGCAGACUUGUUAAAUUUGGAUGAGAAAUUUGAAGAUGAAGACAAUGCAUUAUUGUUGUUGAAUUCCCUUCCUGAUGAAUAUGAUCAUCUUACCACCACAUUGCUUCAUGGGAAAGAUUCAAUCACAUUUGAUGCAGUCUGUAGUGCGUUGUAUAGAUCUGAGACUCGAAAGAAAGAUAAAAGAGAUCACAGAGAUACAACUGCAGAAGUCUUAACAGUAAGAGGUCGUUCACACACAGCAAACCUGGUAGAAGGGGUAAGUCCAAAGGGAGACCCGCCAAAGAUGAAUGUACCUUUUGUCGUGAGAAAGGGCAUUGGAAAAAGAAUUGUCCUAAGUUACAAAAGGGCAAGUCUAUUUCUAAUGCAUGUGUAGCGGAGCAUGAUGAGGAGUCAGACUUUAGCUUGGUUGGCAUGGCAAUGGCAUGUCAAACGGAUGAGUGGAUAUUGGAUUCGGGAUGUACUUACCAUAUGUGUCCUAAUAAGGACUGGUUUUCUAGUCUUGAAGAACUAGAAGGUGGAGUUGUUUUAUGGGCAAUGAUAGUGCCUGUAAGACAAUGGGUGUAGGUACAAUCAAAUUGAAGAACCAUGACGGCUCAAUCCAAGUUCUGACAGAUGUUCGCUAUGUACCCAGCUUGAAGAAAAAUCUCAUCUCAUUAGGGGCCCUAGAAUCUAAAGGGCUCACAAUCACUUUGAGAGAUGGAUUACUAAAGGUAGUAGCUGGGGUAUUGACGGUGAUGAAAGGCACUAGAAGAAAUAACUUGUACUAUUUAAAUGGAAGUACAGUUAUUGGAUCAACAUCAACAGCUUCUGCGAAAGAUGCAGAUUCAGAGGCUACCAGGUUAUGGCAUAGGCGAUUGGGACAUACUGGUGAAAAAGCUUUGCAGACUUUGGCGAAUCAAGGCUUGUUGAAAGGUGCAAAUUCUUGCAAAUUGGAAUUCUGUGAACAUUGUGUUCUGGGCAAGCAGACGAGGGUAAAAUUUGGUUCAGCAAUUCACAAUACGAAAGGAAUUCUGGACUAUGUUCACAGUGAUGUGUAGGGACCUACCAAAGUGGCUUCUUUGGGAGGUAUGCACUAUUUUGUCACUUUUCUUGAUGAUUAUUCAAGAAAAGUAUGGGUGUAUCUAAUGAAAAGAAAAAAUGAAGUUUUGGAUGCAUUUCUGAAGUGGAAGAAGAUGGUGGAGACUCAGACAGGUCGAAAGGUCAAACGACUUCGAUCAGAUAAUGGUACUGAGUACAAAAAUGAUCCAUUUCUACAAGUAUGUCAAGAUGAGGGCAUUGUGCGACACUUCACUGUUCGAGAUACACCACAGCAGAAUGGGGUGGCAGAACGCAUGAAUCGGACUAUACUGGAGAAAGUUCGAUGUAUGUUGUCCAAUGCUGGAUUGGGCAAGGAAUUUUGGGCUGAGGCAGUUACAUAUGCGUGCCAUCUAAUUAACCGAUUGCCAUCAGCUGCAAUAAAUGGAAAAACUCCUAUGGAGAUGUGGACUGGUAAACCUGCUACUGAUUAUGAUUCUUUACAUGUUUUUGGUUCCACUGCAUAUUAUCAUGUAAAAGAAUCUAAGUUAGACCCAAGAGCAAAGAAAACAUUAUUCAUGGGUAUAACUGGUGGUGUAAAAGGAUACUGUCUCUGGUGUCCUGAUACAAGGAAGAUUGUUUUCAGUAGAGAUGUAACUUUUGAUGAAUCAACCAUGAUGAAGAACGAGGAUUCACAAAAGGAUGACAAAACCAGUAGUACUUUGCAGCAGGUGGAGUUUGAAAAGGUUAAUGAUGAUCCAGCUAAUAUUGGAAGAACAAAUGAUGAAGAAGUUUCGACCCAAGAACUUCUACAGCAACAAGAUUCAAUUGCAUAUAGGAGGCCAAGAAGAGAGAUUCGUAAGCCUGCUCGCUUUGACGAUAUGGUGGCCUAUGCACUUCCAAUUGCAGAUGAUGAUGUCCCUUCCACUUACACAGAAGCAAUAAGUAACUCUGAUGGUGUAAAGUGGAAGCAAGCUAUGAAUGAAGAAAUGCAGUCUCUUCAUAAAAAUAGGACUUGGGAGUUGGUGAGACUGCCCAAGGGAAAGAAGGCAAUUGGAUGCAAAUGGGUAUAUGCAAAGAAGGAAGGAUUUCCUGGUAAAAAUGAAAUUCGAUACAAGGCUAGAUUGGUAGCAAAGGGUUACGCUCAGAAAGAAGGAAUAGACUACAAUGAAGUGUUUUCUCCAGUUGUGAAGCAUUCGUCUAUUCGGAUUUUGCUAGCCUUGGUUGCGCAAUAUGAUCUUGAACUAGUUCAGCUUGAUGUGAAGACCGCCUUUUUACACGGUGAUUUGGAAGAGGAAAUCUAUAUGACUCAGCCAGAUGGAUUCAAGGUUGCUGGAAAAGAAAAUUGGGUUUGCAAACUGACAAAGUCGCUUUAUGGAUUGAAGCAAUCUCCGAGGCAGUGGUACAAGCGAUUUGAUCAGUUCAUGAAAGGGCAAAGGUACACAAGAAGUAAAUUUGAUCAUUGCGUGUAUUUUCAGAAGCUACAAGAAGGAACUUUCAUAUACUUGCUCUUAUAUGUUGAUGAUAUGCUAAUAGCAUCUAAGAGCAAAGUUGAGAUUGAAAGAUUGAAGACUCAACUCAAUCUCGAGUUUGAGAUGAAAGAUCUAGGAGAAGCUAAAAAGAUUCUCGGCGUGGAAAUAUGUAGAGAUAGAGCUCAUGGCAGAGUUAGCUUGUCUCAGAAGCAGUAUUUGAAGAAAGUACUACAGCAGUUUGGCAUGAACGAGCAGACCAAACCUGUAAGUACCCCGUUGGCUUCUCAUUUCAAGCUUUCUGCACAACUAUCUCCUUCGACGAAUACGGAACGAGAAUACAUGUUGCAAGUUCCGUAUUCUAAUGCAGUGGGUAGCUUGAUGUAUGCAAUGGUGUGUACAAGACCCGACAUUUCACAGGCAGUUAGUAUAGUGAGCAGGUAUAUGCAUAAUCCUGAAAAAGGACAUUGGCAAGCUGUGAAAUGGAUUCUACGGUAUAUUCAGAAGACCGUGGAUGUUGGAUUACUGUUCAAGCAGGAUAAUACACUUGGUAAAGGUGUUAUUGGGUACGUUGAUUCUGACUAUGCCGGUGAUUUGGACAAGCGAAGAUCAACCACCGGUUAUGUGUUUACACUUGCUGGAAGAUCAAUAAGUUGGAAGUCUACACUACAAUCUACAGUUGCAUUGUCAACCACAGAAGCCGAAUACAUGGCUGUAACAGAGGCUGUAAAGGAGGCUAUUUGGUUACAAGGUAUGGCUAAAACCUUGGGGUUGGUUCAGGAGCAUAUUAGCGUGUAUUGUGAUAGUCAAAGUGCUAUUCAUUUAGCAAAGAAUCAAGUCUAUCAUGCACGUACAAAACAUAUUGACGUACGAUUCCAUUUUGUGCGGGAAAUUAUUGAAGAGGGGAAAAUUUGUCUUCAGAAGAUCAAGACUGCAGAUAAUCCCGCAGAUAUGAUGACCAAGGUGGUAACAACAACCAAGUUCGAACAUUGUUUGAACUUGAUCAAUAUCCUGCAAGUUUAACAGUUGAAGAAGGCACUAUCAAGUAUUGUUGUCAAAGGUAGAAAGAAUUGUGUGAAGAUAAGAUUAUCCUAAUCAAAUCUUCAAGGUGGAGAUUAUUGGAUACCUACAAUCUUUGACUUUUCAAAGAUGAAUAGUGGCAGAAAGUUGGCACCGAAAGGCACCGAAAGUAGAAAGUAAGAUUAGUUGGCAUGGGAUAAUUGCAAUUUUGGUCCCUAAUUGUAUAGGGACAUUGCAAGUUGAUCCUUAAACCUCAACUAUAAAUAGGCCUAACCAUUUCUUACUUUCUUCAUCCCAUACUUGCCAUUCUCUACUUAAGGCAAUUGUUCUCUCUCCCUAUUUGUAAACUUUCACUUGUAUUUUUGGAGUGAAAUAUAUUUGGUAGUGCCCGAGGACGUAGGCAAAAUUUGCUGAACCUCGUUAAAAUUCUAGUGUUCUUUAUUUUUUGUUCUGCAUAUUUUGCAAGUGUCAUUGUAGUGAUUUAUUGUGCUAUUAAAUUACGAUAGAGGGAUAUUCUGGCUAGGAAAGAUCUGGUAUGUAAGCGAUCCUCGUGAUCCACCUCUCUUUCCUGGGAAUUGAACUUAGUGUGAUUUUUCAGUACAAUAAUUUUACUCUUUCACACGCUUCCGCGCAACACUAAUAGCUGCUAUGACCUUGAUACUAUCAAAAUGAAUGGUAACAUCAUCGUAUCCUUAUUUUUUAACUAUGUGUAAGUCAUCAAAUGUGCCCCAAAGCUCAGUAGUUACAACUGAACAUUUCCCCAAAAAGCGAUUCUAGAAUCUAAUUUUCCUUCCCAUCACAUAUUAUCCCACCUACAGCGGAAAAACCAGAAAUGAAAUUAACGACACUUUCAGUAUUAAGAAGAAAACUCAUACCUAAUUUCGAACGUUCAGGAGACUAUUGCGGAUCCUUCACCAAGACUUCAUUAUUGAUUAAGUAAUAUUUCUUUGCUCAACUGUAAGAAACCUUAAUAAUUUUCUCCAAAUUCAUUGAUUUUCCUUGGAAGUUGAACAAGUUACGAUUUAUCCAGAAGAAGGAAGCCCAGACCGAAUCUGUCAUGUUUUUAUCUGAUUGGUCCUAUAGAUUCGAGAACAACCAUUUUAAAAUAUUACCUUCAAAGAUCCACUUAUUUUGAUUGGAAGAAAUUAUUUGAGUCCAAAUAUCCUUCGAACAUGAACAUCCCCUAAAAAUUAGUAAAACAUCCUCUGUAUGGUGACCACAAAAAUGACAUGACUCAUCAUCACCAGUUCCCGUUCGGACCCUUUCAGAGUUGGUUAAAAGUCUUUGAUUUAGGAUUUUCCAGAUAAACAUAUGACGGUGUACCAACGGAGCUCGUGGAAGGGACAAAAGAAAGAGGGUACAUAGUGGAUUGGGCUCCACAGGAAGAUGUCUUGGCCAUGGGGCUAUUGGUGGGUUUUGAGUCGUAGCGGAUGGAAUUCGACUUUGGAGAGCGUGACAGCGGGGGUGCCCAUGAUUUGUUGGCCUUGCUUUGGUGACCAACAAUUGAACAGUAGGUUUGUGAAGGAAGUGUGGAAAUUAGGAUUAGAUAUGAAGGAUGUGUGUGAUAGAAGAGUAGUGGAGCAAAUGGUGAAUAACUUAAUGGUGGAAAAAAGGGAGGAGAUUUUGAAAUCAGCUGAUGAAUUUGCUAAAUUGGCUAAAGGAUCUGUGAGUGUUGGUAGGUCUUCGUAUUAUAAUUUGGACUGUCUAAUUGAGGACAUAAGAAUGGUGAAUAAAAAUUGUUAAAAAAGUGAAAUUUUGAGAUAGGGACAACAAAAUGAGGGACCUUUCCCAUCCCCACUUUUUUUAUUAAAUUAUUUUCUAGGUUCCUGCUAAUUUCGAAUUAAACAAUUUGACCCUAAUUUCUUUAAUUACCUCGUACAUCUUUGUCAACUUUUAAAUUAAUAAUCGUAUUUGUUUGCUUUUAUACUAAUAUAUGAUUUUCAAUUGAUAAAAAAAUUAAAAAUUAGUUUAAAAUACUAAUAUCUCGUAUUAAUUUAUAAGAGUUACGAUAAUUAUCAAUAUAAAUCGAUAUUGAUUGAAAUUAAUUAAAAUAUAUUAAUUUUUUUUACUAAAAUUGAACUUAAAUUAUUUGGUAUCAAAAUGGUGGGGACUAUUAUCCAGUAAUGUUUUCUCUUGAUUCUGUCCCUGCCCGAAGUAGCUAGUGAAGGGGAAUAAAGAUGUUUCGUAUAGGAAAAUUGCUUUAACGAAAAUGGUGAAUGAAAUUGAUGGUUGAAAACAAAGAAGAGACUGAGAAAUCUGUCGGCGGCCCUUGCUGCAAUUUCGAUUGUUUUAUUAAAGACAUAAAAGAACAUGUUGUAAUUAAUUAACUUGCAGUCACAUGGCAUGCGAUAAAGAUGGAUUUUUUUUUUAAAUUAGAUCCAAGGUUAUUAAAUAUUAAUAAGUUUAUAUUUUGAUUAAUUAAUUAGAUAUAAAAUAAUCACUAAACUAUUCAAAAGAUUUUGUUUAAGUCAUUAGCUUUAAGUUUGGUUUACAAGCUUCAAACAACAAUUCGACGAAUAGUAUGGUAGAUCAGUACCCAUUAAGAAAUAAAAGAACUUAACAUAGAUCCAAAUCGAUCUGACAGUCAGUGUUGGAGAUCGAAGAAGAAUGUUAUUUGGACUUUGGCUCGUAAAUAUGAAAAGAAAUUGAACCGUAAAAAAAAAGGGAAGAAAAAUUUUCAAUUUGUACAAGCGAUGCGAAAAAAACUAUACAAUAAAACAAAGUAAUUGAAUAAUUAUCUUUUAAAAAUUAUAAAAAUAUAAACUAUUAAAAAUAAUGAAAUUAUAUUUUAAUCAUUAUAAGAAUUACAAGUUAAUUUUAGACAUGAAAAAGUUUUCUACUCUUGGAUAGAUAAGAGCCUAAUUGGUUUCCUAAAAAUAUGAUAAAUAUAUCAUUUAUUUCUUAACUUAUAAAUUAAUACAUUCUCCACCUUAACCAAAGACAUCUUUUGGCCAUGAAAUAGCUUCCAAAUUGUCGAUUCUUAAGCACAUAAAACUCAAAAAGCCCCUCAAAACAGAUCAUCCAAUUAGAUGGAGGAGCAGGAUCGAUCCUCUCAACCCCGUCUUCCACAUGUCCUCAUCUUCCCCCUCCCAAUACAAGGCCAUAUAAACUCCAUGAUUAAGCUAGCUGAACUGCUAGCUAUCGCCGGCUUCAAGCUCACUUUCCUCAACUCCCACCACAACCAUGAACGCUUGGUCAAGUUCAACAAUAUUGCUGCCCAUUUUGAAAGAUACCCAGGGUUCGAAUUCAAGACCAUAACCGAUGGUCUCCCUCUUGAUCAUCCUAGGUCAGGGAGCUGGUUCCUUGAUAUGUUUGAAGAUACCAUGGAACCUAAGAUGAAGCAAAGUUUGAGAGAGGUACUUGUGAAUAGUAGCCCACCGGUAGAUUGCAUAAUUGCAGAUGGGCUUUUAGGCUUUGCUCUUGAUGUUGCAAAGGAGGUUGGAAUCCCCAUUAUUUUUUUUUGUACCAGCAGUCCUUGUAGUUUCUGGGUUUAUUAUUCUAUCCCUGAUAUAAUCCAAGUUGGGGAGCUUCCUAUCAAUGGUAAAUCCUCUUCCUUCUCAUCAACUUUGUUUAUUAUACCAUGUUUAGCACUGUUUUUAACUUAGAAUAACACAAAACCUUAAGUCGAAAUGAUUUGACAAGCAUGUUGAAGAAAUUAACGAGAAAGACAUUUGGAAUAUUCCUGUUAAUUAGGCGAGUUGAUUUGGUUUAAGUUGGAUUAAUUCGGAAUUUAAAAUUUUUAAAUCAUUUCAUGUUUGAAUGAUUUUGAAUUUCAAUGGGUUCUUGUCAAUUAGAUUUACUAAUUUAACUUUUAAAUUCGAAUUAUUUUUGUUAUUUUUGUUUUCGGGUCACUUUAGGUUAGCUAGCUGAGUAUUUUUGUGUCGAUUUUCAAGUUGAAUCAUUUCAGGAUUUUUUCCAUUCGGGUUUAAUACUUAAGUUUGGAUCACCAUGGAUAAUUUGUUCCCGUUAUUUUUAAGUUCAAGUCGUUCGAAGUUGUGAUCAUGUUUGAGCUUAGAUCAUUUCUAAUUUGAGUUGUUAAAUUUAUAUGAUUAAAUAAAUUGAAUCUGAUAUGAGUUUGAAUUAAUUGGGUUUGUGAUCAUUGACACUAGUAAAUGGGUUUUUGUUAAACACUUGAAGGAACUGAAGACAUGGACCGGUUAAUAACGACAGUGCCAGGCAUGGAAACUUAUCUUCGAUGUCGAGACCUUCCUACUUUUUGUCGUAAACUGGACAUUGAAGAUUCAAUAUAUAUGAAGCUAGUCGUAGAACAGACACGAAAGAGCCUUCAAACCGAUGCCUUGAUACUCAACACCGCCGAAGAGCUCGAUGGGCCUAUACUAUCUCAAAUACGCACCAAAUGCCCUCGUGUCUAUGCCGUUGGACCCUUACAUGCUCAAUUAAACACUAGACUCAAU